CUCCCAGACAACAGGUGCCACUCAUGCAGACCCUGCCUCUGUCCAUUUUCUUGCUGGAUUUAAUGGCUGGACUGGGUGCUGUCUCGGACAGGGUCUACCUGAGCCUGAAAUGCUGACUCCUUUGAGUGCAGACUCCAGUUCUCUUUCAAACCCAGGCUGUGUGCUGGAGCUCUCAGCGCGACACACCAGCUGCAGACGCAGGGGAGUGAUUUUCUACACAGGCAGAGUGCUAGCGAGCGGGUAAGAAUGGAGGCACCCCUCCCCUCCUCCUCCUCUCUCCACCAGGCUCGUCUCUGCUCCCCCUCCAGCCUGAUGUCAUUAGCAGUGCAGGCUGGCUACCGAGCUGCCCGGCGCUCUCUCGGGGGCUCUGUGACCCUGCGGACCGGCUCUCGCACGGAGCGCGCUCCUUCUCAGACUGCCGCGAUUCCAGCCAGCCUGCUCAGCGGGAGCAGCCAAGCGGAGACGGAGCCCGGCCCCAGCCAGCCCCCGCCAGCCCGCCCAGGACACCUCCUCCCAAUCGAGGCUCUCUCUUUCCUGCAGCCGGGGAAUCGCAGGUGUCGGGACGCCCUCCUCCAUGGCGGCCCGUGUGCGGGAACCCCGCUGUCCUCACUGCUCCUGCGGGGCGGGGGGCCAGCAUUUCGGGGUGCGCUCCCACCUGCACCUCUUCUACGAGGACUGCGCCUUCUCGGAGACGGAGCUGAAGAGGGCGUCUCUCUCCUGGUCCUCCCUGCUCUGGAAGGUACAGCGCUGAGCCCCGGCGCGCACGACACAGCGACCCUCCCUUCCAGGGCCCUGGGGCACGGCCAACAGACCGGUUGACCACACGGGUGUGUCUCACACUUUCACUUUUAACCACAAGGGCUGUGACAGCGCUCCUGUGACUCCUGUGUUUCUGAGUCACUGAC
rnacentral:lncRNA from 1 species